CCUUGACAUACUAAGAACUUUCCAGAGAUGGAUUGGUGCCGUUCGGGAACUUAGAUACAGGUGCUGCAUGGCUGUCGUCAGCUCGUGUCGUGAGAUGUUGGGUUAAGUCCCGCAACGAGCGCAACCCUUUUCCUUAUUUGCCAGCGGGUUAAGCCGGGAACUUUAAGGAUACUGCCAGUGACAAACUGGAGGAAGGCGGGGACGACGUCAAGUCAUCAUGGCCCUUACGGCCAGGGCUACACACGUGCUACAAUGGUCGGUACAAAGGGUUGCUACCUCGCGAGAGGAUGCUAAUCUCAAAAAGCCGAUCGUAGUCCGGAUCGCAGUCUGCAACUCGACUGCGUGAAGUCGGAAUCGCUAGUAAUCGCGGAUCAGAAUGCCGCGGUGAAUACGUUCCCGGGCCUUGUACACACCGCCCGUCACACCAUGGGAGUUUGUUGCACCAGAAGUAGGUAGUCUAACCGCAAGGAGGACGCUUACCACGGUGUGGCCGAUGACUGGGGUGAAGUCGUAACAAGGUAAGCGUAGAUGA
rnacentral:rRNA from 1 species